CCUACGGGCGGCAGCAGUGAGGAAUAUUGGUCAAUGGACGAGAGUCUGAACCAGCCAAGUAGCGCGAAGGAUGACUGCCCUAUGGGUUGUAAACUUCUUUUAUAUGGGAAUAAAAUGUUCCACGUGUGGGAUUUUGUAUGUACCAUAUGAAUAAGGAUCGGCUAACUCCGUGCCAGCAGCCGCGGUAAUACGGAGGAUCCGAGCGUUAUCCGGAUUUAUUGGGUUUAAAGGGAGCGUAGGUGGAUUGUUAAGUCAGUUGUGAAAGUUUGCGGCUCAACCGUAAAAUUGCAGUUGAAACUGGCAGUCUUGAGUACAGUAGAGGUGGGCGGAAUUCGUGGUGUAGCGGUGAAAUGCUUAGAUAUCACGAAGAACUCCGAUUGCGAAGGCAGUUCACUGGACUGCAACUGACACUGAGGCUCGAAAGUGUGGGUAUCAAACAGGAUUAGAUACCCGGGUAGUC
rnacentral:rRNA from 1 species